rnacentral:rRNA from 1 species
GAGUUAGUAGGUUAGUCAUGUCUCUGGUAUAUACUGAUCUCACUGAUUCCUCCCUCUUGACGAACUGUAAUGUCAUUAAUUUGGUGUUGCAGGAAAUCAGGACUGUUACUUUGAAAAAUUAGAGUGUUUAAAGCAGGCUAAAGCUUGAAUACAUUAGCAUGGAAUAAUGAAAUAGGACGUUUGAUCCUAUUUUGUUAGUUUCUAGAAUCGAUGUAAUGAUUA